UACGUAGGGGGCAAGCGUUAUCCGGAAUUACUGGGUGUAAAGGGUGAGUAGGCGGCGUGGUAAGCCAGAUGUGAAAGCCUUGGGCUUAACCCGAGGAUUGCAUUUGGAACUAUCAAGCUAGAGUACAGGAGAGGAAAGCGGAAUUCCUAGUGUAGCGGUGAAAUGCGUAGAUAUUAGGAAGAACACCAGUGGCGAAGGCGGCUUUCUGGACUGAAACUGACGCUGAGGCACGAAAGCGUGGGGAGCGAACAGG
rnacentral:rRNA from 1 species